AGCCGCGGUAAUUCCAGCUCCAAUAGCGUAUAUUAAAGUUGUUGCAGUUAAAAAGCUCGUAGUUGAACUUCUGUACAGUCCCGGUUCUGGCUUCUGUCAAGCUGUGGAUUGUGCAUCCGCUUGCAAAUCUAGUUCGGCCUUCACUGGUCGGCUAGGGGAGUAAGCCCUUUACUUUGAAAAAAUUAGAGUGUUUCAGGCAGGCAAUGGCUCGAAUACAUUAGCAUGGAAUAAUGGAAUAGGACUUUUGUCCAUUUGGUUGGUUAUUGGACAUGAGUAAUGAUUAACAGGGACAGUUGGGGGCAUUAGUAUUUAAUUGUCAGAGGUGAAAUUCUUGGAUUUAUUAAAGACUAACUUAUGCGAAAGCAUUUGCCAAGGAUGUUUUCAUUAAUCAAGAACGAAAGUUAGGGGAUCAAAGACGAUUAGACACCGUCCUAGUCUUAACUAUAAACUAUACCGACUCGGAAUCCCGGCUUAUAAAACUGGGUCGGCACCGUAUGAGAAAUCAAAGUCUUUGGGUUCUGGGGGGAGUAUGGUUGCAAAGCUGAAACUUAAAGGAAUUGACGGAAGGGCACCACCAGGCGUGGAGCCUGCGGCUUAAUUUGACCCAACACGGGGAAACUUACCAGGUCCAAACAUGGGUGGGAUUGACAGAUUGAGAGCUCUUUCUUGAUUCUAUGGGAGGUGGUGCAUGGCCGUUCUUAGUUGGUGGAGUGAUUUGUCUGGUUAAUUCCGUUAACGAACGAGACCUUAACCUGCUAAAUAGUACGCUGAUGCUCCCAUCGGCGUUACUUCUUAGAGGGACUAUGCGUAUUGAGCGCAUGGAAGUUUGGAGCAUAACAGGUCUGUGGAUGCCCAAGGGCGAUUCGCCUGUGCAGCAGCCGCCGGUAAUCCAGCUCCAGAGCGUAUAUAAGUGUUGCAGUUAAAAGCUCGUAGUGGAUUCUGGUACAACGCGCUGGCCCGCUUUUGUGAGUGCCGGAGCACGUUUGCCAUCUUUCUAGAAAACGUUUCUACCCGGGCAACUGGGCCGGGACUCGCGAUCUAGAUCUUUUACUUUGAAAAAAUUAGAGUGUUUAAAGCAGGCUUUUGCUGUGAAUACAUUAGCAUGGAAUAAUAAUCUAGGACUUCGGUUCUAUUUUGUUGGUUUCUAGUACUGAAGUAAUGAUUGAUAGGGAUAGUUGGGGGUGCUAGUAUUGGCCGGCCAGAGGUGAAAUUCUUGGAUUCGGUCAAGACUA
rnacentral:rRNA from 1 species